rnacentral:lncRNA from 1 species
AUUUACUGUAACAAUUUCUUUUGAAUAACGAUAACAAGCAAAAUUUAAAAUUUAUAACAUGACCUUGACCUUUGACCUUGACCUCAAUUUCCUUCAAAAUGACCAAUGACUUCAUAUCAAAAGACUGUAGACCUCUCCGACUUAUAACGUAUGAAUUGAUCCAACAUAUCGCCUAUCUUAAAUUUUCAAAGGGAAAUAACUCUCAUAAGAUGUCUUCCGAUCACUCCAGUC